UACCUGCAGCUCGAGUGGUAACCGCUAUUAUUGGGCCUAAAGCGUCCGUAGCCGGUUUGGUAAAUAUCUGGGUAAAUCGUGAGGCUUAACUUCACGAAUUUCGGAUAGACUGCCAGACUUGGGAUCGGGGGAGGUCAGAGGUACUCCAGGGGUAGCGGUGAAAUGUUGUAAUCCUUGGAGGACCACCGGUAGCGAAGGCGUCUGACUAGAACGAGUCCGACGGUGAGGGACGAAGCCCUGGGGCGCAAACCGGAUUAGAUACCCGGGUAGUCCAGGGUGUAAACAAUGUGGGCUUUGUAUUGGAGGUUCCACGUGGGCAUCCAGUGCAGAAGAGAAGUUGUUAAGCCCACCGCCUGGGAAGUACGGUCGCAAGGCUGAAACUUAAAGGAAUUGGCGGGGAGCACAGCAACGGGAGGAGCGUGCGGUUU
rnacentral:rRNA from 1 species